rnacentral:rRNA from 1 species
CAGUCGACGAUGAAUCUUCUAGCUUGCUAGAAGUGGAUUAGUGGCGCACGGGUGAGUAAUGCAUAGGUUAUGUGCCCUUUAGUCUGGGAUAGCCACUGGAAACGGUGAUUAAUACUGGAUACUCCCUACGGGGGAAAGUUUUUCGCUAAAGGAUCAGCCUAUGUCCUAUCAGCUUGUUGGUGAGGUAAUGGCUCACCAAGGCUAUGACGGGUAUCCGGCCUGAGAGGGUGAUCGGACACACUGGAACUGAGACACGGUCCAGACUCCUACGGGAGGCAGCAGUAGGGAAUAUUGCUCAAUGGGGGAAACCCUGAAGCAGCAACGCCGCGUGGAGGAUGAAGGUUUUAGGAUUGUAAACUCCUUUUGUUAGAGAAGAUUAUGACGGUAUCUAACGAAUAAGCACCGGCUAACUCCGUGCCAGCAGCCGCGGUAAUACGGAGGGUGCAAGCGUUACUCGGAAUCACUGGGCGUAAAGAGUGCGUAGGCGGGGUAAUAAGUCAGAUGUGAAAUCCUGUAGCUUAACUACAGAACUGCAUUUGAAACUGUUACUCUGGAGUGUGGGAGAGGUAGGUGGAAUUCUUGGUGUAGGGGUAAAAUCCGUAGAGAUCAAGAGGAAUACUCAUUGCGAAGGCGACCUGCUGGAACAUUACUGACGCUGAUGCACGAAAGCGUGGGGAGCAAACAGGAUUAGAUACCCUGGUAGUCCACGCCCUAAACGAUGGAUGCUAGUUGUUGCCUUGCUUGUCAGGGCAGUAAUGCAGCUAACGCAUCAAGCAUCCCGCCUGGGGAGUACGGUCGCAAGAUUAAAACUCAAAGGAAUAGACGGGGACCCGCACAAGCGGUGGAGCAUGUGGUUUAAUUCGAAGAUACGCGAAGAACCUUACCUAGGCUUGACAUUGAU